rnacentral:rRNA from 1 species
CCCUAACCGAGUAAUUGUAGCAUAAUCAUUUGCCUUUUAAUUGAAGGCUUGUAUGAAUGGUUUGACGAGGGCUAAGCUGUCUCUUUUGAAAUAUUUAGAAAUUAACUUUUAGGUGAAGAGGCCUAAAUUUGGCUGAGGGACAAGAAGACCCUGUUGAGCUUUAGUUUUAUACUAAAUGGGUUAUUAUGAUACUUGUAAUAAGCGUGGACUUAGGUGUAAUGGGAUUUUAGUAUGAAUCUUUAGUUGGGGCGACUGAGGAACAGCUAGAGCUUCCUUUGGUUUAGAAGGGCGAAUGUGUGCUUAAAGAUGGUGUAUUCUUGCAGGUUGUUUUGAUCCAGUAAGAUACUGAUUAAAGGAAAAAGUUACCACAGGGAUAACAGCGUAAUCUUUCUGGAGAGAUCUUAUCGAAAGGAGGGUUUGCGACCUCGAUGUUGGACUAA